rnacentral:misc_RNA from 1 species
UCUCCGUAGGUGAACCUGCGGAGGGAUCAUUACAGAGUUCAUGCCCUACCGGGUAGAUCUCCCACCCUAUGUUAUUAUUGCUUUGUUGCUUUGGCGGGCCGUUAGGCUCCGGCCCGACUACCGGCCCCGGCUGGUAAGCGCCCGCCAGAGGACCCAAAACCCUGAAUAUUAGUGUCGUCUGAGUACUAUAUAAUAGUUAAAACUUUCAACAACGGAUCUCUUGGUUCUG